AAACCAUGUUAUGGGCAUAAAUUGACAAGAUCCUUAAACCGCUCCUGACAUUUGAAGAAUGUUUCAUCUUCCUUUUGGGCAAAGUUCAUGAUUGAUUUUCUAAAUGU